rnacentral:rRNA from 1 species
CCUACGGGUGGCAGCAGUGAGGAAUAUUGGUCAAUGGACGCAAGUCUGAACCAGCCAUGCCGCGUGCAGGAAGACGGCUCUAUGAGUUGUCAACUGCUUUUGUACGAGGGUAAACGCAGAUACGCGUAUCUGUCUGAAAGUAUCGUACGAAUAAGGAUCGGCUAACUCCGUGCCAGAAGCCGCGGUAAUACGGAGGAUUCAAGCGUUAUCCGGAUUUAUUGGGUUUAAAGGGUGCGUAGGCGGUCGGAUAAGUUAGAUGUGAAAUCCCGAGGCUCAACUUCGGAAUUGCCUCUGAUACUGUUCGGCUAGAGAGUAGUUGCGGUAGGCGGAAUGUAUGGUGUAGCGGUGAAAUGCUUAGAGAUCAUACAGAACACCGAUUGCGAAGGCAGCUUACCAAGCUACUUCUGACGUUGAGGCACGAAAGCGUGGGGAGCGAACAGGAUUAGAUACCCCAGUAGUC